ensembl:lncRNA
AAUCAAUAAUCCUCAAAGCCCACCAAAUGGUGCUCAAAUUCCAUGCCUUAAAGCAACAAAAAAUUAUUCCUUAUGUGUACUACUAGCUCAUGUAAUCACUCAAAGACCCAGACUGAGGGAGGCUCCACCAUUUUGAAGCCUCACAAUGUGGGAACGUGGCCCUUGGUUGCCAUGGCAGUGAAGAGAAUGCUGGAGCAGUUAUAUUCUGGAAAUGAUAUACAUCACUUCUGCUUACAGCACAUUGGCCAAAACUUGUCACAUGGUCCUGCCUAAUGGCACACUGGCGAGCUGGUACUCCUCCCUACACCUUGACGAAGAGGUGAACCAAAAUGGCUGACUAAUCAAAGUUACUAUGUCAGAGGCAGACUUUGAGCUCUUCACCACCAUCUGAUACUAUUGCCCUUGAGAAGAAUGAUCUCCUGCUGGAUGAGAGGAUCACAGUGGCUGUGUGGAGCUUCAUUAUUCAUUCUCCUCCAUCCAUCUUAAUCCUACCAUGCCUGUCACUGGAUCCCAAAGAGGCACAAUUAGGACCUCUCCUCAGGAGUCCUUCUGGCCUCUGCCCAGCUCCUAUGCUGUUCAAGACCCAUACUUGAUGCCCAGUGGCCCACGUUUUUUAACCUUUGGGAUUCAUGUGAUCAGCACCCACACAGCUGGGAAUCACUGAGUCACAGGCUGAGUAGCUGCUUGCAUCUUUUCUGCCUGGAAACAAGAUUUGUAGGGCAGAGUGGAUCUGCCUCCCACCCUUCUGGCAGGCCCCUGUGGCUCUCGGCAUUCCUGCUGCAAAGCCUUGUGAAGCACGUCUUUAACUUCUCAGAGAAGUGUUUAACAAACGUCACCAUCCAGAGCUGACAGGCACAGUGGUCUUAGACCUGGAAGCCUCAGAUAUGAACAUCUUGGCAGGAAUCUCCAUCACGUUUCUGGAUAUGGGUUUGGAAUGUGUUCACCGACCUGCCCUUUACAAGUCAUUGAUUUUUGGGUUUGUUUACUUUUUCAACUCAUUCUCCAGGCAAGACGCAGUUUCUUCCUCCAGGAAAGUGUUGCAUGAGAAGCAAGGUCCGAGGUCAGAGGACAUCAGUCUUUGGUCUAAUUUCAGGCCAGUCUCCUAUGUGUAAGAUUUGCAUGAAGAGUGGAAAAGAUGCAAGGACACUUCCUUGGAUUCAGCCUUCCCAGGCCAACUUGCCAAAUUAAUGAGGAAUAAAGCUUCCGUCUACUCAACAGCUACCACCCUCUUCCCAUGGAUCAGGACUGAAAUGUGGUUACAAAUGAUUUUCCUUUACCUACGCUUAGGAUUGCAUGGACUCUCCUGGAUUGUAAUUAGCCAGUUCACAUCACUGAAGUCUGAUCAUAAAAUCCUUCAAAUUAAAAUUAUUCCCCUAACCUUGCCCUACAAAGUCUUACUGAUCUGGUCCUUCCUAAUCCUCUAGACUCCUUCUGGCCUGUCAAACACACCAAGCCUGUGCACUAUUGUUUCUUCUACUUGGAACGCUCCUUCCCUUCCCUCUAAUCUUCACAUGGCACCUUCUUACAGAGGUUCUUUCCUUGUCCCCUGCAGCCUUGCCAAGGUACCUCCCCAAUCACCCAAUUUUCUCUUUUCUAGAGUACUCAUUGUAUUAUUCUUAUUUUCAUUAUUUCCUGUCUUCUCCAUUGGAAUGCUAACUUUUCGAGGGAGAGGCUCUGUCUGUCUUUUGUCCUGUGCCCCAGGACCCAGCCCAGGGUAGCACUUAAUCAAUAUUCACUGACUGACUGUCUAAUGGUCAUUAUUUCUAAUAACUUUGACUUAUUAGCCUCAAGAAGUACUCCCACAUAGCAGGGCAACAGGCAGCACUGAAAAAUAAAACACAUUUAAUAAUAUACCAAAAAUAU